GGGACGAAGAUGGCCUGCGGACGGAGGAGCGGGACCGAACCGUUCUGGCGCGGCGCCCACCUCGCGGGGCGGGAAACCCGGCCGUCGGAUCGCUUGGGGUGCGAGGUGGCGGCGGACUGAGUUGGCGUGGGCGCCCACACCGCAAGUGUCUCCGGCGGUAGGGACUCCAGUGAGGUUUCCCCUGGAGCCAGCGCCACGCGUGACGGGCCUCGCGUUGCCGUGGGCUGCGAGGCGGCCCCGGACCGUGGGCGGAGACGGCACACGCGUGCGCACCCACGGGCGUGCGGGCGGGCUCUGUUCCAUGCGGCGUGACGCGCGGUUCCGUUAAUCCUCACCGCAGGUUCCAGUCCCUGGUGGCGGAGGCGCUGGCUCCUCAGCGGUGCGGCCCCCGCACAAGGGAGCCUGUGUGAGGAGUACAUAUUCGGGGAAAAAACGAAGUGGCCAACGCCUAUUUUUACCUACUUGACAAAAAUAAAUAAAUAAAUGACAGGCAGAGGGCCAGGACAGGGGCUUUCUAUGGCGUGUAGAGGAAGUUCUGCCGGUUACAUUUGUUUCGGAAACAAUGUUCCGAAUUGCAGCAAUGAAGUCCUGCGAUUUAUAGAAGCUGUCGGUCAUUAAAUCUGCAUCAUCCCUGUUUUGUUGCAAGUUCUCUAUAACAUGCUCCAUUAAAAUGUAGACAAGAUUGUCAAAUUAACCAUUUUGAGAGUUGGCCCUGGCUAUAAUUUUCUGGGAAUCAUCUCACUGUAUUUUAAAUGUGUACGUAAGCAGGCUAGUUGGAUUGCUUUUUUUGUUGUUGUUGUUUUAAACUUUGAUUUACGCGAUUUCUAAAGAGCAUUUUCGAAGUUUGUGUGGUACCAACGGUAUUUAAAGCAAUUUUACUCUUUUCCUGGCCAGUAGCUUCUGAUUAUUUUAUUUAAAGACUACAGUUUGGGUUGGUUUGGGUUUUGGUUUUCUAGUUGUCCAUUAAACUACGUUUUUUAGAGCAAAUGAUGAACAAAGUUAACAUGUAAUUGAAAUAAUUUUAAUUUUCCAACAAUGGCUAUAGUAGUUCUUAGUACUAUAGAUAAUCCCUUAAUUAUCUCUAAACAAUAAAUUAGUGAAAGCAUGGAAUAAUUUGAUCAAAAAGCUGUUACUACAUUUUCUAAAUCUUUCUUCAGAAUCUAGAAAAAAACGAGGUUUCUUUCUUGUAUAUUAUUAAAAAAUAUUUUGUCACUGAAUUAUUAUACAUUGUCUGUGUUUGUGCAAGAGAAGUCCCCUUUGUAAGUUGGUCACACUUAUAGGCCCUUUGGUAACUGCUCUCCCUCUAUAGCUCAAUCAGAGCAGUCCUGUACCUUAGGCAAUCCUGGCAGCCCCAAGUUUUACAUAAGAGGAAACCCCUGAAGAGGAAGAGGGAAACUGAAUAAUUUUAUCCAGCACUAUAGCCAAUGAGCCCUAUCUGCUGUUCAAAUCCAUGUAUAUUUUAUACCAGAGUGCCCCCAUCCCCAUUUUACUGACCCUAUCCAGUAAAUCCUUUGAAUUCAUUACAGUGUUACAUAAUUUUUGACCCAUAUGUCCAACCACUUUUAUAAUGUAGUUGAAUGAAAAUAAUAGGCAAUAUUCAUUCACCAUGGCUCAAUCCCUGGUGGACCCAUCACUUGGAAAUAGUAGCCAUUUAGUGCAUUUUCUCUUCCCCUGCUUAGUUUUGCCUGAUUUCUCAGGUUAAGAAAAAAAAUAUCCAGAGUUUCCCAAGACCUAUUAGGCCCCAAGAGAUGUUGCUGCCCAAGCUCACUAGAUGGACUCCUCAUGUGUCUUGACCUCUACACAUGCUUGGCAUCUGUAGGGCUCUGGGCUUGGUGUACCCUUGUAAAGUUUUCCCUAGUUGCCCAAAAGCCCCACUCCAGCUCCCAUAUGCCACCUCUAUUUUUUGUUAAAUGUUUAGUUGUUUCUGUCACAUUUCUCACAUGCCAUGUCAGAUCUGUGCGUCAGUUUGUUUGCCAUCAGAGACUCUCACGCUUUGAGAGUUCCUAACCCCAACAACAGCACAUGUGUAGGCUCUCAUGACUUUGGUGUUCAAAGAGGAGUGUCAUUAGCUAGUUGCAUACUUGAGGUUAAAAUUCUUACCUGAUUUAGUUCCUUCAGUGCUUCCCCCGACACGUGGGGAGGUGUGAGUAGCCAUAUUUGAACUGAGAUGGUUGGUUGCCUAGGAACAGCUUAGUGGCUAGUGGAGGCAGUCCAGGACUGUACAGCAAGUGAACACAUGGCCUUUGGGGCCACUGACCUUGCCCAGGCACUCAUCCAUAGGCUCCCAUCUUUGUCUGUCUCCCACUCUUCUGCACAUUGUGCACAUGUAUUGAUCACACAACAUGAUGAAUGCAAUGUAGACUACAAAGUUUAUUGAGAUAUGUACCUUCAAGCUUACAAUCUCAGCAAUUAUUAUAGAUCCUUCAGUCCUGUUAUUGCAAACAUUCUAAUACAGUUUUCAAAAUGUGCAGGAUAAAUGUACAUGAAGAUAGGUAUACACAGGUAUAUGAAGAUCCUUGUAAUAGCUCUUUCAGUGAAAACUCGUCUAUUAACAAUAAAAUUGGCUCUUCAUUUUUAUACUAAUUAGCUAGGAGUGGAAAUGUGCUUUCUGUUCAAUUUCAUUGGCUCUACUAGCUUGUUGCAUCUCUCCACAUUUAGAGUAAAAACUUAACAAUAUUCC
rnacentral:lncRNA from 1 species